GACGAACGCUGGCGGCGCGCUUAACACAUGCAAGUCGAACGGAAAGGCCUGCUUUCUCUUGUGGAUUGCGGGUACUCGAGUGGCGAACGGGUGAGUAACACGUGAGUGAUCUGCCCCCAACUUGGGUAUAAGCCUGGGAGACUGGGUCUAAUUCUCGAUAGGACUGCAGGGUGGUGCCUGUGGUGGCAAACGAUUUUUUAGUGGUUGGGGAUGAGCCCGCGGCUUAUCAGCUUGUUGGUGGGGUAAAGGCCGACCAAGACGGGGACGGGUAGCCGGCCGGGGAGGGUGGACAGCCAAAUUGGGACAGGGUUAAGGCCCAGACGGCUGCGGGAAGCAGCAGAGGGGAAUAAAGCACAAUGGGCGGAAGGCAGAAGCAGCGACGGCGCGUGGAGGAUGACGGGCUUCGGAUUGUAAGCUCCUUGCGACCACGAGGAAGCCACGUAGUUAGAAGGGUGUUGACGGUAGUGGUAGAGAAAGCACCGGCUAACUACGUG
rnacentral:rRNA from 1 species